GAUUAACGCUGGCGGCGUGCAUAACACAUGCAAGUCGAACGAUGAAACUUAACUGAUUUCUUCGGAAUGAUUUUAAGUGGAUUAGUGGCGGACGGGUGAGUAACGCGUGAGUAACCUGCCUUGGAGAAGGGGAUAGCCUUUGGAAACGAAGAAUAAUACCCUAUGAUAUGAUAAUAUCUCAUGAUAUUAUCAUCAAAGAUUUAUCGCUCUAAGAUGGACUUGCGUCUGAUUAGUUAGUUGGUGAGGUAACAGCUCACCAAGGCAGCGAUCAGUAGCCGGCUUGAGAGAGUGUACGGCAACAUUGGGACUGAGACACGGCCCAGACUCCUACGGGAGGCAGCAGUGGGGAAUUUUGCACAAUGGGGGAAACCCUGAUGCAGCGACGCCGCGUGAUUUAGAAGGCCUUCGGGUUGUAAAAAUCUUUUGUAUGGGAAGAAAAUGACAGUACCAGACGAAUAAGGACCGGCUAAUUACGUG
rnacentral:rRNA from 1 species